rnacentral:rRNA from 1 species
GAUGAACGCUGGCGGCGUGCCUAAUACAUGCAAGUCGAGCGAACGGACGAGAAGCUUGCGUCUCUGAUGUUAGCGGCGGACGGGUGAGUAACACGUGGAUAACCUACCUAUAAGACUGGGAUAACUUCGGGAAACCGGAGCUAAUACCGGAUAAUAUUUUGAACCGCAGGGUUCAAAAGUGAAAGACGGUCUUGCUGUCACUUAUAGAUGGAUCCGCGCUGCAUUAGCUAGUUGGUAAGGUAACGGCUUACCAAGGCAACGAUGCAUAGCCGACCUGAGAGGGUGAUAGGCCACCCUGGAGCUGAGACACGGUCCAGACUCCUACGAGAGGCAGCAGUAGGGAAUCUUCCGCAGUGGGCGAAAGCCUGACGGAGCAACGCCGCGUGAGUGAUGAAGGUCUUCGGAUCGUAAAACUCUGUUAUUAGGGAAGAACAUAUGUGUAAGUAACUGUGCACAUCUUGACGGUACCUAAUCAGAAAGCCACGGCUAACUACGUG